rnacentral:lncRNA from 10 species
CUCCAUCUCAAAAAAAAAAAAAAGAAUGGGUAAAGGAUCUGAAUACAUAUUUAUCCAAAGACGAUAUACAUGCCAUAACAAUAUAACAAGUAUGAACCUCAAAAACAUCAUAAAACAUCAUGCUGGCCAGGCUUAGUGACAUGCACCUGCAGUCUUAGCUAUUCUAGAGGCUGAAGUGGGAGGACCCUUUGAGCCCAGGAGUUUGAGGUUAUAGUGAGCUAUGAUAGCACCAAUGUACUUGAGCCUGGAUGACAGAGUGAGACCUUCAUUUCUAAAAAACAAAUAACAACAACAACAUCAACCACAAAACCAUUAUGCCAAGUAAAAGCAGACAACCACA